UUCCAUUUUCGACGGCACCAAGUUCAAACCAUAUGGUCUUAUCGCUAAUUUGACGUACGCAUAUAAUUUAGUGAAACUGCCACGAAAGUUCUAACUGUAUGCGAUAUCAACGUUUAGAACUUCAUAUAAUUAUACAUCAGUGAACGAGUUACCUUUUGGAUACAUUUAAAACAGGAGAUGGAAUAACAGGAUACAAAGACGAGACGUAAAAUUUGCAAUAGAACAAGGAGCAUGUAUCCAAAAACUUUUAAAGCUAAAGUGAUAGUAAAGCUAUUUUAACGACAACCACCAAAAUUUUGAGUUUUUAUCUUUCUCAGAAUAAGACUGCCUUAAAUACAGUUUCUUCUUAAAAGAAGUAUCAGAAUGCUCAGACCACCUCAAACUCAAGGUUUCAAUAAAUAAUAAGUGGCAUUGAUUUUAGUUGAUGACAUAUCCUUGGCAAUCGCUAACAAGACACUGGUGCAAUUGGAAAUGCCUGUUCCAAACCGACCAACAAAUGACCUGCUCUAUUGUAAAUUGCAACGAAAAAGAAACUUUGAUUCUCAGGCAUAGAAUUGACAGAAUUGUGCGUGGAAAUUAUUAUAUAGGUCGAAUCCACAGUGUCUCACAAGAAAGCAUUGGACGCGCUUGAUCAUACACUGCGAGAUAUAAAAGGAAACUGUGAAACACCUGCUGAUCAAUUUAAUGCACGUCUCAAAUCGUCCAUUUUAUGGCGUCUGUUACACAAAUUGACUUUGAAAACCAACAUGCGUUUAAAACUACAACUUGAUGCAUCAGCUGAAAUAUUUGCAAAACAAUUAAUGGAUAUUGGAAAUGAGCGAAAGCAAAUUGAUGAAUCUUCGCAAUCUAUCACCUUGCCAAUAAACUUCUGUAUGAUCACAGAAAGCUUAUACGAAUUGGUGCUAAAAGUUUUUCCAAACAAAAAGAAUUACAAAAAUCAUCAGUGGUUCAGUACACGUGUUAUAUUGGAGGGCAAAAACAUUGAUGUCACCAUUAGAGAAUGGCAAGGGUACACCCAGACAAUGAGUGCACUCGAAUCAUGUGUGCCUUUUCGGCAGUCAGAGUGUGAUCGGCACCCUA